rnacentral:rRNA from 1 species
UGAGGAAUAUUGGACAAUGGGGGAAACCCUGAUCCAGCAACGCCGCGUGGAGGAUGAAGGCUUUUGAGUUGUAAACUCCUUUUCUGGGGGAAGAGACAAGGACGGUACCCCAGGAAUAAGGUCCGGCUAACUACGUGCCAGCAGCCGCGGUAACACGUAGGGACCGAGCGUUAUCCGGAAUUACUGGGCGUAAAGGGCACGCAGGCGGUGUACCAAGUCUGAUGUGAAAGCUCCCGGCUUAACUGGGAGAGGUCGUUGGAAACUGGUGCGCUUGAGGCAAUGAGAGGGAUGUAGAAUUCCUGGUGUAGUGGUGGAAUGCGUAGAUAUCAGGAGGAAUACCAGUGGCGAAGGCGACAUCCUGGCAUUGACCUGACGCUCAUGUGCGAAAGCGUGGGGAGCGAACGGGAUUAGAUACCCCCGUAGUCC